UACCUUUGCUCAUUAUCUUCCAUUUUUCAUACUUGAAUUAAUCUCUUACUAUUUCUGUAAUAUUAAUUUUUCUUUCAGUUUUUUGCUAUUUAAUUCCCAUUCCUACUGCAAAAACAAAAAAAAAAAAAGCCAAAAACCAAAACUCAAAAAUAGUGAACAAAAGUUAUCUCAUAUAUAUAUUCGCUGCAUUUUUAAUUUCCUAUCAGUCUGUUCAUUUCAAAGAUCGGAGUUUCUUCAACAAGUGAUCAUUUAGUUUUUUUCAUUUCGAAGCCAAUUUGCAUCGGUCUUCACAAUCCAGCAGAUCAUUUAGUUUUUUCAUUUCAAAGCCAAUUUGCAUCGGUCUUCAUAAUCCAGCAGGUAAAUGUCAUCGGGACUUAGAUCUUAUGGUGAGUUUUAG
rnacentral:lncRNA from 1 species